rnacentral:tRNA from 1 species
GUCCCAGUAGCUCAGCAGGAUAGAGCGACAGCCUCCUAAGCUGUAGGUCGUAGGUUCGAUUCCUAUCUGGGACGUCA